CUGUGAAACCAUUACAGAAGAUGUUUAUCCACUCUACUGUAGAAGGGCAUCUGGGCUGCCCUCAAUUACUGGCUUUUUUCAGUAGAGCUACUGCAAACAUUCUAGUUUCCAAGCCUAAUCGAAGAGAAGCAAAAUAGAUUUUCUUCUGCCACUGCCACCCCUGAGACAACAAGACAAUCCCUCCUCUUCCACCUCCCGAUCCUAUUCAACAGGAAGACGAUGAGGCUGAAGACCUUUAUGAUGAUCUGCUUCCACUUAA